rnacentral:rRNA from 1 species
GAUGAACGCUGGCGGCGUGCCUAAUACAUGCAAGUCGAGCGAACAGACGAGGAGCUUGCUCCUCUGACGUUAGCGGCGGACGGGUGAGUAACACGUGGAUAACCUACCUAUAAGACUGGGAUAACUUCGGGAAACCGGAGCUAAUACCGGAUAAUAUAUUGAACCGCAUGGUUCAAUAGUGAAAGACGGUUUUGCUGUCACUUAUAGAUGGAUCCGCGCCGCAUUAGCUAGUUGGUAAGGUAACGGCUUACCAAGGGAACGAUGCGUAGCCGACCUGAGAGGGUGAUCGGCCACACGGGAACUGAGACACGGUCCAAACUCCUACGGGAGGCAGCAGUAGGGAAUCUUCCGCAAUGGGCGAAAGCCUGACGGAGCAACGCCGCGUGAGUGAUGAAGGUCUUCGGAUCGUAAAACUCUGUUAUUAGGGAAGAACAAAUGUGUAAGUAACUAUGCACGUCUUGACGGUACCUAAUCAGAAAGCCACGGCUAACUACGUG